GUAAAAGCGUUGAUAGGAAUUAGUAAGCAGCCGCUCCUUCUAAAGAGAGCCGAUGGUUGGUGAGAAUCGGUGAAAGAUGCUGCUGAAUCCAUCCUUGAGCGAAAUGCUGAACCCAUGAAUUCAGUAGGCAUUUUCGGAUAUAUCCGUUAUUUUGAUGAAGUGGAAAACAGUAUUGUUUUCAAUCAGGGUGGCAACGCGAGAGCUCUCGUCCCUUAC
rnacentral:ncRNA from 1 species